AGGGGUAUACCUCAGUGCUAGAGGGUAUGCCUAGCAUGGAAGAGGUCUUGGGUUCAAUCUCCAGUACCUCUA
rnacentral:tRNA from 1 species